rnacentral:misc_RNA from 1 species
GCCACGGAAUGUAUGCCAAAAUGCUACGCUAAAUCUCAUCCAAUCCUUCAUCUUUUCUCCAAGAACCUCCUCCUCGGCAUUGUACCAUUUAAAGGAGAGUGGGUUCUUACUAGAAGGACCCUCAUACUUAAUUUUUGGAAUUCCAGGGAAAAACUCCCCAUCCCAUUCACCUGAAUCACUCCCACAACCGCUGCCAGUAUCAGCAGGACAAGUUGGUGGAGCAGCAGCCAUCACUACACUUGAGACCACAUUCAAACAAAGAAGGAAUAACGAACACUUCCCAACAUUCCUUUCUCUCAUUUUUGUCAAAUCAGUGCAAAAUCUGAGAUGGGUUUUUAGGUUUCUUGGCUAAAGAAACAGAAAAACUCUAGCUUCACACAAAU